GUUUCCACAGUAUGUAUUUUCAUAUCAAGGUUCAAGGUUCCUUUCUUUCUACCCGUGGGUACAUUUGUUUUGCUGACAUAAUGAUUGCUUUUGGCAUUACAACAAAACAUACAUUGAACCUGUUCAGCAGGUACUUGAUCGAGCGUCCAGACAAGACAGAAAGUGCUCAGUGUUCCACCAUUCA